rnacentral:tRNA from 1 species
UGAGACUUGCAGGAUAUGAACCUACAUCUCCUGAAUGCAACUCAGGUACUUUAGUUAAGAUAAAACCUC